rnacentral:rRNA from 1 species
CCUACGGGAUGCACCAGUGGGGAAUUUUGCACAAUGGGCGCAAGCCUGAUGCAGCCAUGCCGCGUGUAUGAAGAAGACCCUAGGGUUGUAAAGUACUUUCAGUCGGGAGGAAGGCGUUGAUGCUAAUAUCAUCAACGACUGACGUUACCGACAGAAGAAGCACCGGCUAACUCCGUGCCAGCAGCCGCGGUAAUACGGAGGGUGCAAGCGUUAAUCGGAAUUACUGGGCGUAAAGCGCACGCAGGCGGUUGAUUAAGUUAGAUGUGAAAUCCCCGGGCUUAACCUGGGAAUGGCAUCUAAGACUGGUCAGCUAGAGUCUUGUAGAGGGGGGUAGAAUUCCGUGUGUAGCGGUGAAAUGCGUAGAGAUGUGGAGGAGUACCGGUGGCGAAGGCGGCCCCCUGGACAAAGACUGACGCUCAGGUGCGAAAGCGUGGGGAGCAAACAGGAUUAGAUACCCCUGUAGUC